CUCAAAUAAACAAAUAAGAAAAAAAGAUUGAUUUUUACUUUUAAAUUAUAUGUGUAUCUGUGUUUCAGCUAUGUGCAGUGUGGGUGCAAGUGGCAUGGAAGCCAGGAAAGAGCACUUCAUCACCCAGAACUAGUUAUAGGUACUCAGGCUGGCUGCAGGGGCACUGGGGCUGCACAGGCCACCUUGUUGCUAAAGAGGCGCGAUAGGCUGCGCUUGGCUGCUGGUCUGCGUGGCGAAGGUGGUACCGACUGGAGUCCACGUACAUCCCAGAGACGUAGAGCACCGUCAUGAGAUGCUGUGUAGAGCACCUGACCAUGGACCUGUGGGCAGGCGGGACAGCUGUCAGCCAUGAGCAGGCCCCUGGAGUCUCCUCCCAUGGGAAGCCCCUUGCUUCCCUGGGGCAGUACGGAGCUGGGCAGGAAGACUCCUACCUGGAGGCAGUUGAUGACAAAGGUGUGGCCUCGGAACACCCUCUGCAGCACUCCUGACUGGGCAUCGAAGGCCCGGGCGCAGGCAUCCCCACUGCCUGUGAACACUGUGGACACACAGCAGGACACUGGGCCCUUCCUGGCUGCCACCUCCCCAGGAAUGGGACCUCCACCUGCCCCACAGAGACAUCCUAAGGGUCAAAUGGGAAAUAUCUGGAAGCCUUCUGAAGGGAAGCUGGGCUCUCAGUUCCGUAAAGUCAGGGAGGACACUGAAGGCUCCGGGACACCUUUGCUGUGAAGAUGCCUUUGCAUAGUUGGGCUGCCAUGCCUUCCUUGACUUCAGUCGGCCUGUGCUGUCCUGAGGACACCACGUUCUGCAGGCUCUGCCCUGCUCAUCUGUCACCUGUCCCCAGGGCCAGCCCAUCCACCCUCCUCAGGAAUGUGGCCUUGAAGCAGAG